CCAUAAUAACCUCAAAACCCGGUGUCACAAGUGCGUGAGCAUCAACUAAGAAGUAAAAAAUAAAGUACAUCUGUCCGGAAUACAACUUAGAGAGGAAAAAUAUAAAUAACUCUGAAGGAGACUCUGCUGGCUGUGGGUCGUAAUAUUAAAUGCAGCUCACGUAAGUCCCCACAUGCAUACACGCCUUUGCUCUCACAAGGCCAUUAGUCACAUAUGAACCUGCACAAAAAUGUGAAGCAAGUGUAGUAUGAGUACGUAAGCAAGGUGUACCCAGUAAGUAUCUAGCCUAACCCAAGAGAAGUAGUGAUGAGGGGUCGACAUCGACACUCACUAGUGGUCCAAUAAUAUCAAGUACAGUAAGGAGUUGAGCAAAUACGAGGGAAAGUAAAUAAAUGAAAAAAUAAGUGUAAAUAUGUGGUACAAUUAUCUUCCUUACAAUAAACUUUAGCUCUUAAUUAGCAAGUUCCUCCGCAACCGGAGCAUAUAUAUAUGUAUACUGGAUCUCACCAAGCAGGUUGUUAUAAUUCGAAUCAGAGGAAAAUUCACAGAAACCCCGGCUUCUUGUCAAAUAUUACACACAAUUCCAUAAGGAUAUGAUAUAGGAAAUGCGAGUCGUACGGCCCAAUUCAACAUAAAUAGUUAAACUAUGCACUGCCGAGGGUCGAACGACAUGAUCCAUAGAUACAUCAAUUAACUACCGAGGUGAACGGCCCGCACCCUUGAGAGUGUGGUACAUAAAUCCUGCCGAGGCAAUCGGCCCAAUCCCAUAUAAUUGAAAUACAUAAUCCUACCGAGGCGAAUGGCCCGAUCCAAUUAGAAUAAGAAGUUUUGACGGGUCCUUGACCCCACUCAUGAAUAAAUGUGCGAGUUGUAAUUUCUUAAAUGUAACCUUUCAUUGAAGUAUAUAUAAAUCAUGGAAACAUGCUGUAAGAGGAGUAAAGUUAUUCGGUGACUAAUCAUGAACUCGUGAAGUCUCUACAAUAACAAGUCUACUCUCAAGUAAUAAUGUAAAAAUAAAGGAAUUUAAUAGGCGAGAGAGUGCUUAAAUAAUACAGCUACAGCAUGAUGUGAACCUAAGCCUACCCGGACAAUAACAUGAAUGUAGCUACGUACGGGUUCUCAUUACCUCGCACAUACAUAGCCCCCACAACAAGUAGCACACAUCAAUAUACAACACCUAGGGGUAAUUUCCCCCUCACAGAGUUAGACAUGAGACUUACCUCGCUCCGAAAUUUCAUAACCGGCUCCAAAGCCCUCUAACACCUCAAACUGAUGCCCGUCUAUCCAAAACUAGUCAAAUAAGAUGCAGCACAAUCAAAAUAUACUCUAAUAUUCAUAAUUAAUCAAAUUAUAACAACUUCCAACUGUCACGACCAGGUGUCGUGCUGGCCCGAGCGAACCACUGUGCAACUCAUUUGUUUUUCUUCUGUAAUUAUCAUGGGCCAACAUGGCCACAACGCAUAAUGUAUAACUAUAAUUGGGCAACACUGUAUCACUGAACCAUUUUUCUUAAAAUAUGAAUACAUAUGGGCCGUCAAGCCCUCUGACAUACUGUACAAAUUGAACCUCUGUCUACAAAGCCUCUAAGAUUAUAGACUAGGAUGUACUUUGAAUGAAGUGGAGUCUUACCGAUCCUUCGCUGAAUGCUAACCUUGUCUACUACGAGGGCUCGUCAAACUAAUUAUCUAUACCUGCAGGCAUGAAUGCAGCGUCCCCAACAAAAGGACGCCAGUACGAAUAAUGUACUAAGUAUGUAAGGCAUAACUGAAACAUAACAAUAAGUCAACAUUAAUUAAAGACAUAUAAGAAUCAACCUGAAUCUCUGAAGUGCU
rnacentral:lncRNA from 1 species